rnacentral:rRNA from 1 species
AGUGAACGCUGGCGGUAGGCCUAACACAUGCGAGUCGAACGGCAGCACAGUAAUAGCUUGCGCUUACGGGUGGCGAGUGGCGGACGGGUGAGAAAUACAUCGGAAUCUGCUUUUUCGUGGGGGAUAACGUAGGGAAACUUACGCUAAUACCGCAUACGACCUACGGGUGAAAGCAUCGGAUCUUCGGACCUUGCGCGAUUGAAGGAGCCGAGGUCGGAUUAGCUAGUUGGCGGGGUAAAGGCCCACCAAGGCGACGAUCCGUAGCUGGUCUGAGAGGAUGAUCAGCCACACUGGAACUGAGACACGGUCCAGACUCCUACGGGAGGCAGCAGUGGGGAAUAUUGGACAAUGGGCGCAAGCCUGAUCCAGCCAUACCGCGUGGGUGAAGAAGGCCUUCGGGUUGUAAAGCCCUUUUGUUGGGAAAGAAAAGCAGCAGGUUAAUACCCCGCUGUUCUGACGGUACCCAAAGAAUAAGCACCGGCUAACUUCGUG